UAAAAUGAUCUGGUCAGCUGAGGAGUCACCCAGGCCCAAGAUGAGAGGACAGCUUCUAGUAGGCCACGACUGAAACUGGAAAACAAAGCGAACCAAAGACCUGGGACUCCUUCAUCCACCUAGGUCUCCUUCAUCCACCUAGGUCAGCUCCAGAGCAAGGAAAGAACGACCAGAAGAAUUCUUCUCUAACAACCACAUGCACCUUUUAAGAUGCUGCAGAACUGCACCCGGAAAAGAAGAUUUCACGGGAAAGGACCGCAAACUCAGUUCCUCUUCCAUUUUGUUGAAGAUCAGCACGUUACAAUUGUUCAGAAGCAAAAUUUCAUAAGCUUGGCUGUGGAAUAGUUGUGAUGCAAAAACAAUCACAAAAGGCUUAGCCUUGCUGCUUUAUUGACACAGCCUUCCUGUCCCCACAUCUUGCUUCCUGUCAGGAAAGUGGGACGUGUUGGAUGAUUUCCCAGCUUCUCUUUGGAGAGGAAGUCUACAGGUUUUCCACCAACCAGCCCCCGCCAAUCUGCGCUCCCCGGGAACACCUGCAGCUAAAGGCUAUGCCCAUUCUCUUUUGUGCGCUUACAGCUAUCAAAAUAAAUGAGCCAUCUUGGCUGGGAAAUCACA